GCCCUCCGGAUGCGGAGCGGGAAACCCGGCUGGGUCAACGGGUCCCCUGCCUUACGCCAGGUAUUCGCCUGACGUUCGGUGUUUGGCUCGGAACCGGCGAGGCGGGUUCUUUCCGCUGAGGGUCGUCAUGGUUAGCGGCGAGUAGGUCGGUAACCCACCCGACCCGUCUUGUAACACGGACCAAGGAGUCUAACAUGUGCGCGAGUCAAUGGGUCCCUCGAAACCCAGAGGCGCAAUGAAACGUGAAGGCGCGGCCUCGUGCCGUGCCGAGUUGCGAUCCUGGGCCGCCCAGGGUUCCGAUGAAGGGAGCAGCAACGGCCCGCCCCACACGCUCACGUCGUGGGGGCGGCGCUAGAGCGCACACGUUGGCACCCGAAAGAUGGUGAACUAUGCCCGGGCAGGAUGAGGCCAGAGGAAACUCUGGUGGAGGUCCGAAGCGCUUCUGACGUGCAAAUCGAUCGUCCGACCCAGGUAUAGGGGCCGGAAGCUCGUCCUCUUCUUGCGACGUUCGGCCUCGGCGACGCUCCUACGGACUACAACGUGGUCGUAAAGAAGUUUACGGCCCAUUUCGUUCACCCCCUCAACGAGGUGUACGAGUCGGCGCAGUUUCACCGGCGAGUCCAGCAGCCGGGGGAAACGGUGGACAGCUACUAUGCGGAACUCCGCAAGCUCUGCAAGAGAUGCAAUUACCCGUCACCCGAGGUCGUGAACGCCCUGUCCACGACCGCUUCAUCGUAGGCUUACGCGACACUCGCCUCGCCGAGCAGCUCUGCCGCAACCCCAAGUUAACCCUCAAAGAAGCAUGGGUGCAGGCGAGACAAGCAGAAGACGCCCAAAAGCAUAGAGACGAGCUCGCAGGCCACUACACGCAGUCUCGACCAGUGAGCCUCGACGCUUCCAAGUCUCGGCAGCCACAAGCGGGACGCGUCAAGUACAGUUCUGCACGCGACAAGUGCACCUCAAGCUCUAGCUCGUGCGGCUACUGCGGCCGCGCUUCACACGCUCGCUCGGAAUGCCCCGCCCGCAACUCGUUGUGCAACC
rnacentral:ncRNA from 1 species